AAUAGUUAAAGGGCCGCGGUAUUUUAACCGUGCAAAGGUAGCAUAAUCACUAGUCUUUUAAAUGGAGACUUGAAUGAAUGGUUGAACAAAUAAAUAGCUGUCUUUUUUUUAAAAUUUGAAUUUAACUUUUAAGUGAAAAGGCUUAAAUAUUUCAGGGGGACGAUAAGACCCUAUAAAUCAUUGUAUUGGGGCGAUAAAAGUAUAAUUUAUAACUGCUUAUUUUUGAAUACUAAUAUAUUUGUAAUGAUCCUUUAAAAGAUUUGAAGAUUAAGUUACUUUAGGGAUAACAGCGUUAUUUUUUUUGAGAGUUCUUAUCGAAAAAAAAGUUUGCGACCUCGAUGUUGAAUUAAAAUUUCUUUAUGGUGUAGUCUUUAUAAAAGAAGGUCUGUUCGACCUUUAAAAUUUU
rnacentral:rRNA from 1 species